rnacentral:hammerhead_ribozyme from 1 species
AUUUAGAUGAAUAGUCCUAAAUAGGACGAAACAUGCGUCCUGGGU